UUCUUAAAUGUAUAUUUAAAAUGCAUUUAUUUGUGUUGCAUGUCAUUUUAAUUAAGGUUAAAGAUGUAACUAAAUAUACAAAGAAGGAAAUGAAUGAUACCGACCUUCACACAAAAUGAAUGCCAAACUACAUUUUCACAGUGUAUCAUUAUCUACAACACUUGCUUUUGUCCUGUUAAAGGUCCAUUUACCAACAUUUACAGUUAAGAUACUGGAGUACAAAUUCACUUAAAAAGAUACAAAUUCCCUUCAAAAGGUUUCCAAACAGUACAUAAGACAAAGUAUUUUGGCAAUUUCAUACAUUUUCAAAUGUACUUCAUAAAUACAUUUACAUACAUAUAUUUUUCUAUAGUACAUUUCUAUGUGUACUAUUUCCUCCAUAAAUUUUAAUUUUAAUGUAUUUUAAAACUGCAUUUUAAAAUACAUUUACUAAUAUUAUUAACAUAGUGAGGUAAUGUAACCGUGUGUGGUGGAUGAGAUGAAAACUUUGGGAGGACGCAAAGGUGAGGAUGCUGACACAGAGGACACCCCCCCCCCUUGAGGAGAUUAACCAGGUAAGUACCACUAUGCCCAACAAUAUAAUUUCUUACCAGUGUGUAUGUGUGUUCUUAAGAUAGCUUAAUCCAAUUUAGAUGCAUCUCAUAUUACUAAAGGUGUAGAGUAGAUGUAAACCUCAUUGGUGAUGUGUUUGGCGCCUUGACAUCAUCACACAUGGCAAUAUAUUCUGAAAUGCAUUUUUGUGUUUGAAAUGUAUUUUGGCGUGGAUUGCAAUUUAUUUGAAAUUCAAAAGUGAUAAAGUGAUGUAGUGGUGGCGGUGAAGUGACGGUCACUAAUAAAAGUGGCCGCAAAGUGGCUGCUCAAUGGUGGCCGCUAAUAAAAGUGGCCGCGAAGUGGCCACGUCCUGCUGCCAUAAGAGCCGCCACUUGCGUCCGUCAGAUAUCCAACUCCUACGGCAGAAUUUUAGGCUUAAGAUAACAUAAAAUCUGUGUUUCUUUACACUAAAAAGGCGUUUCCUCCACUCCACACUUUAGAACGGCUAGAAACGCCAACCAAAAUACAUUGUCAUUACGUGCAUGUUAACUACAUAAUCUUCAAAGUUUCAUCAUGGCAACGUAAACACUUGAGUUGUGACAACCAGAAAAACAGUCACCGGGCUUCUCCCAGCCUCUAGACUAUCCCCAUGUCUACAAGCCCGCCUGCUAGGCCCUGCCACCCUUAGCAGACGACACCUAAAAACUUGCGUUGUGACAACCAGAAAAGUGAAAGUCCCGGAUUCGUUGUGCACUGUAAAACCGAACAGUACAAGUUAUUAAUUUGGUUGUAAUAACUCAAAAAUAAAAGGAAUAAAUAAAAAUAAAAAGAAGUUAAUGCUCCUCUAUUUUUCUGCAUAAUUUGUACUAAUUUGACAUUUUAAGUUUACAGUGCAAACCACUAAUUUAUUUUUGUCAUUGCACUCAAAUAAUUUUACAGCAAUACCGCCUAACGUCCGUAUGUGCUCCUUCAUGUGGACACGUCCGCCAUGUUUGCUCCACUCGCCUCAGGCUGGAUUAGGUGGUGAAAACUGACAACAAUUUCCAAGUUAUAAUGUGUGAUAUUUUCUUCUCGGAAAUUCGUCGUGGGAGUGCUUGUGAAGACGUUUGAGGUGAAAUGCCAUGUGGAAUGCAGUAAUUUUCUGAACCUGCAAACUUUCUCCUGCCGACCGCCGUGACACUGAUUUUCUCUUUGGGCGCGCUACUUUUUUUGUCGCUGUUACUUUUAUUCUGCAAAGAGGUUAAAUAAUGAAUCUGUUUUAAAGAGUUUGGACAAGUCCAACAAGCAAAGGUUGUGUUAUUCAGCUGAGGCAUUUCUUUGUUGCUCCUCAUCUUUUAACAUGUAACAAGUUAAAGAAAUCCAAUUUCAAAGAUUCCUCCAAUCAAAUGCAUUUGUUUUGGGUUGGUUUGUUUUAUGAGGUCAGGGAGAGCACAGUAUAGUUCACAUAAUGCCUGUUAAAUUAGAAAGCUAACUGACUUAUGUCAAAUGCUUCACUGAUAUUUUUCUUGUUGUUUAUGCAAAUAUUGCUGCCAAGCUAACUUUUCCAUCUUUCUCUCUUAAGGCUAAAACUGAUGCAGCUUGCUGAUGUAUGGAGUUUUCAGUCUGAAACUACGAGUGCUGGUACAGUGAGCAUCAUUUGAGCUAACAUCAUCAGACAACUUCUUUGUACUCCAGACUUAAAUGAUACAGAAAUGGCAAGUCAAAACUUCAUAUUUCAUCUCCAUACCUCCACAGACAUUGUGAGGAAGAUGACUCUAUCUUCACGCCCAGAAUCUGUGGAUGAGCUCAAAACAAUGAUAAAAGAAAAGUUUAAGCUAGACUUUGACUUUUUAUCAUACCAACAUCCAGACUUUGACGGGCAGCUAUGUUCCCUUGUAGACAUUGAGGAACUUCCACAAAAGGCUGUACUAAAAGUUAUACGACCUGAGAGUGAUGCCAGUUCAGUAGCAUCAGAUGACACAAUAAUAUUGCCCCAUGCCAUGACUCCAGACAGGACUGAGUGGUGGCCUCAUUUUUUUUCCAGUGCCCACUUUUUCCUACAAGGUAGAACUCAUACUUGGUGAGGGAGAUGUUGCAUAUGAGAGAACAGGAAAGAUGGUCAAGUUAUCUAGGAACAAAAGCAUGACAUCCUUGAAACCCUUGCAGGCAAGAUGCAUAGCUUCAAAGCAUAGCCCAGUGAUAAGGAAGUGUCAGUAGUAGCAGAAGCCCACUAAGCAUCCCUGUCUUAAAGAGCCAGGAUCCCAGACGGGAUGGUAUGGUUGGAAAAAUAGUCUCAAGUUUAAGUUGGGGGACAAUUGCAGUAAGUUGAGUUGGGCUGGGUUUCAGGAGAUAGCCGUGAAUUCUGGGAAGAGGAGUAGAAACAACCCAGACGAACAAGCUCGUCACACUAACAUCGAGAGACCCAAGAGGGCAAUAGUGAAUUUCCUCCCUAAUUUCCCAAGAGGGGAACGUACCAGAAGCCUUGAACAACUGAGACUGAAAAUUGUAGAUGAAGUUAAGAAGUGCGACACAAAUAUCCUGUUCUGAUUACAAAGUUAAUGCAGACCACCUUUGCCCUGAGAUGCAAAGAGGUCAUCACUGAAGACCUACCUCUUGGUGAUAUUCUGGAACACUGGCCUGCCCUCAAAAUACAGUCACAGAUUUGUGCAGAGUUUCACAGAAUUACAAACAUCAACCUGAAGAACCACUUCUAUGCUGCAUUGGACCGACAUACCCCCGUCUUCAGAGCUUGUUCAGGAUGAAAGCAAGUUGUGCAGGGAAAGUGUCCCAAGUUCUGGGACAGCUCUUCAGGAUAUAUGAUCUCCAGGAACAAGUUGGCGUUCACGUCAGACGUGCUGCUGUCCUCCAUGCUCUUCCUGCCUAUCUGCAUGAGGAUGACUCCAGCUUUCUGAAGACGUGGAAUGUGAUGCAGUCUGAUGAACCCAGACAUGAAUGACAUGUCAGUUGGGCUCCUCUCAAUCAGUGCCAGUUCAACAGAUGCCACAUUGUUCUGCCCAGAGAGGAUUGCAGUGCUUGAGGGAAGCAGGUGGAGCUCACUUGUUAACAAAGCAUAGGAAUAUAUGCCAUGGAGACUCUCAUCUUAUAUCUUAUCCAACAUCAAACAGGUGGCAGUUCGUCCCCAGCACGCAGACAUAUAUUAUGAAGGAUAGCGCAUGAAGCAACUACUGUUGGCACGAAGGAGGGGUGUACUUCUAAAGCCUGCAAGAAGAUGGAGCGCCACCGGGUCUUCAUGAUUCCAAAAGCUCUCUCAAUCACAGAACGAGAUUUUGAAUGGUACAUGUUGAACACUUUCUGUUGUUCAUUCCACAGUGGUCGCUUGUAUGGGGUAAUCAGAGCAAGGGGCCUCUCAAGACAGGGAUAUCCUCCAUCUCCCAGAAGAAAGUGCCAGCAGAGGGGUAGAGCCCAUUGCGAAAAAGGGGACUAUGUUUUAGGACCCUAGCGUCGUGUACAGAACCAGGAAAUCCAAUGUACACAUUUAGGAAUCUGGCCUGGUGGUCACAUACAGCCUGGAGAUGUAUAGAUGUGAAGAGCUUCCGAUUUCUGUAGCACCCAGUAUCUGGCUCUCCCGAGGCUUUUAUGCGGAUAUGACUUUUGGGCAAACCUUUCAAAUCCAGCACCAAUUGCCUGCUGUUCCUCUGCUGUCACUGGCACACAGAUGACUUUGCUCAGGAUAGCCCUCAACUCCUCUGACACUCGGUGGACAAUUCUACAGACAGUGGUCCUGGGUAUGCCGAAUGCCCUGGACACCACCCAAUACGAAGCUCCACUAGCAAGCCAGAACAAAAAUACUAACACUUCAAUGGUGGGUCCCCACCCAUGAUGGCGUUCUUGAUCCAGCAUCCUCAACAAGACGGCCAGGGACUCCCUGUUUAGUCGAAAAUCCGGACGGGUGUCUUGCUCUGUAUUAAAAUACAGAUUGAGGAGUGGAAUGGACUGGUUCAGGGAGCAGUAUCAAGUUACUGGGCCUUCAUUCUGUAAAAGUAGAUAUAUGUUUACAGCAGGAGUGUCUGAUCUUAACCCUGAAGGGCCAGUGUGGGUGCAGGUUUUAUUCCACAAAACAGGAGCACACAUGAUCAACUGUUUGAAGACAGAGACUAAUUGAUUAAACAGAUGGAGUCAGGUGUGCUCCUACUAUUGGAAUGAAAUCCUGCAGCCACACCGGCCUUCUUGGGAGACAACUGAGCACACCUGAUUUACACUGUCUUCUUACUACAGUCUACAGUAUAACUAAUUAGGGUAGAGUGGGGGGAAAGGCCUCUAUGCAUAAAAUGUGUUCUCUGCAUGUUUCUCCUGAGAAGCUUCACGGGUUUGGGGCAAGAGGAUUUGAGGCAAGUUAUUUAUUAGAAACAUUAUGACUGAAAUGAAUUAACCAGCCUCAUAGUCUGUUUUAUUGCCACACUUUAUUUUGCAGUACUUUGUUGCAAUACGGUAAUCUAAAAUUGAAAAAAAAUUAAAUACAACAAAUUUCAGUCUGAGUGCUAUCUUUUAUCAGUGAUUGAUCAGUGCAUGUGGGUGUUGGCAAUUCAGUUUCACAAGUUGCACACAAGUCGGACACAAAUAUAACAUACUUUAUUUUUUGCAUAUUAGUUUAUUUUGGUGACUGUGUGUGAAACAUUUUUUUCCAUAGGGACCUUUUGCCCAAUAGGUGUCGUUUGACCUCUGUAUAAGUUUAUUUUAAAUAAGUAAUGAAUGGUUAUUUCUGUCUCCCUUUUUAUAAACA